AAGGUGCAGAGUCCACUAGAGCUUCAAGCUGAAGCUGGAGGGUGCCUGACCUCUCCCUUGUACUGCCCUGGUACUACAGGAGGAUGCUGCAGCUUCCUAGCUGGCUAGACAUAUGAAUAUGACAAAGGAAAAUGGAAACUCCCAGUAACCACUUCAAAAAUGAGCUAGUAAGGAAAUCCAUUAACUGCUCUUCUUAUCUCACUCCUUCGGAAUCAGAUAUGUCCCUGGGAAUUACUGUGCUGUGCAUAUAGCAGCAGUUCAAUCACAGGAACUAGAAGACUGUAACAGUUCUUAGGUGGCUUCUUUUGAUGGGUGGAAUAAAUGUUACCACAACUGCUACCAACCUUGGUGUGAAAAGCUGUACAGAUCACGAAUUUUCAUCUGACGAAUUUUCUGAGCUCUCAGUUGGGUUGAAAGCAUCUGUCCGGGUACCAACCAGAGCCACCGGCCCACUUGUGCAGGGGCGGAGGUGCGAGGCUGAGGCUGCAGUGGCCCCUAGCGGGGGAGGCUUUGUCAUCGCGGAGCCUCUGUCGCAGGGGCUGUGCACAGCUUCUGCACAGGCACCUCCUGCCGAAUGGGAGGUGACCUCAGAAGGGGAGAACCCCAGCUUGCUAGGUUUUCAAUUUUCAUUUGCCAGCUUUCAAUUUUCCAUCUGA
rnacentral:lncRNA from 1 species